AUCUUCUUCAAUUGCGUUUUUGCACACGCAAAAACGCAUGCGAGUCCUUGGGUUUGAUUGACAUGCCCUGUCAAUCUUACCUUAAAUGUAUGAGCUGGAGAUCAGUCAGGUUGCUAAGGCAUUUUAAACCUGCGUAAACGGUCUCUGCUUUUUAAAUUAAACUAUUAAC
rnacentral:misc_RNA from 1 species